ensembl:lncRNA
CAUUCGGCAAGUUUUCUUCUUUGUCUGCCUUACUCUUCCUCUCUCCCUCCCCUUUCCCCUCCUUCUCCUUUUUUCCUCUCCCCAGAUAAAUAGGUUCCCGGGAACAGGAAAGGAACGAAGGGCUAGUCUGGUCCGGCCCCCUCAUUUUGACGGAUAAGGAAACUGAGGCCUAUCCCCUGCUGUUUCUAUUGGUCCUCUGCCCCCUUCCUCCGCUUGCCCCUUCUGCUCGGGGCUCCUGGGUUCUGCCAGCAUCCCCGCCUGCAGCCAGCCUUCCAAGUCUAUUCUUUUUCCUCUCUCCCCUCUCACGCCCUCCUUCUGUUCCCCCCCUCCCCAUUAUCCCUCGCCUGUCCCCCGGCCCCGCCUCUCUCAGGGCCGCGAAGCCACGUGGUCGGGCCAGGGCGGCUGCAGACUGCUCGGGAUCCUGCCCCAGCUGGGCUGGGCUCCGCUCCGCUCCACUCCGCUCGCCUCCGGUCCUCUCGGCUCGCAGCCCUCCGCUCCCGGCGUCCGCCCGCCCGCCUCUGGGGGCAUGAGGCGCUGCUGGCGGACAGCGGGUCAAACAAAAGAGCCCCGGCUCGGGCUGUGCGCCCCCGUGCCCAGCGCCCCCAGCGCGGGGCAUGGAGACUGAGCGGAGCCGCCCGAGCCCGCGCCGCGCCCGGGGGAUGCCGCGGCCCCAGCCCUAGGGAAGCCCCGGCCGCCCUGCUGGAAGCUCGGGGCGCGGGCGCGGGGAGAACGCGGAGGAGGAGAAGGAGCAAGAAGAGAAGAAGGAAUCGGAGGAGGACGCUCCCCGGCUCCCUGUUUCUCGCCUCGCAGUCAGCCCCGAGGCGCGGAGCGGAGCCGGAGCGCGGCAGCGCACUCGGAGCCCCAGCCGGAGCCCGAGCCGGGGCGGCUGCAGCAGCAACAGCCAAGGGGGCAGCGCCGUGGGGGCCGGUCCCACUGGAGCCAUGAGCAAGUGUAACGGGAGGUGCACGCUGGUCGGGUUCUGCUGCCUGCAGCUGGUAGCAGCCCUGGAGCGACAGGUCUUUGACUUCCUGGGUUACCAGUGGGCUCCCAUCCUGGCCAACUUCCUCCACAUCAUGGCGGUCAUCCUGGGCAUCUUUGGGACCGUGCAGUACCGAUCCAGAUAUCUCAUCAUGUACGCAGGCUGGCUUGUGCUCUGGGUCGGCUGGAAUGCAUUCAUCAUCUGCUUCUACCUGGAAGUUGGGCACUUGUCUCAGGACCGAGACUUCAUCAUGACCUUUAACACAUCCUUGCAUCGCUCCUGGUGGAUGGAGAAUGGUCCCGGCUGCCUGGUGACACCUGUGCUGAACUCCCGCUUAGCCCUGGAGGACCACCAUGUCAUCACCGUCACUGGCUGCCUGCUUGACUACCCCUACAUUGAGGUGCUCAGCAGCGCCCUUCAGAUCUUCUUGGCACUCUUUGGCUUUGUGUACGCCUGCUAUGUCAGCAAAGUGUUCCUGGAGGAAGAGGACAGCUUUGAUUUCAUUGGAGGAUUUGAUUCCUAUGGUUACCAGGCCCCUCAGAAGACAUCACACUUACAGCUGCAGCCUCUGUACACAUCGGGGUAGCCCCCGCCCCGGCCCUUCCCGGCGCUGGACACCGGACCCCGCCCUCUGGACUUGACUGUGCCGCCGCGGAGCCGCCUUCCUCGGUCGCCCGGCCCUCCCGCGGCGCGUCCAGGCCGGCCGCGCUCUCCUCCGGGCCCGGGCCCAGCGCCCCCGCUGCGGGGCGGCCACCCACGGAGCUGCGGACAGGAGCGCCCCUGCCGGCCAGCGAGGACACGGCCCCGACCGGACCUGGGGGCGGCGCGGGGCCCUGAGCCGCUGGCAGGGCUCGGGCUUAGUCCCGGGAACUGGGGGGGAGGGAAGGGAAGGGACUCGUGGGAUUUGUAUGGUUUGGUUUUUUUUUUAAACUUAGCUCUGGUACUGAGCCUGUACCGCCCUUUUCUGAUCCUACCCGCCCCCUUCCCUUACGUGGCAAUUGCAGCCCCUUCCACUGAGGAGCCCCUCCCCCCACAGUGGAACCCCCCCCCUUCUUUCCGUUGCGGGGCGCCCAGCUUCCAGGAGGGCAGAUUGUCAAAGGGACCCCAGAGUCAGACAGUACCGUGUGAAGACUCCCGUUCACUCCCCUCCCAGGAACUCCAUCCUCCCUCCCUCCCCUCCAACAGGGGCCAUCCAGACCUUGGGCUCUCCGUGCUCCCCAGUGACCCGGCACCCACCCGUUCAGAGUCCCACAGACACUGCUUCCGCGUCCCUCCCUCACAGAGCCCCGUCUCGCUUAGCUUUAUCUCUCCCAUCACCACCACUCAGGUACAGAGCCUCCACCUUCCCCAUGGCCUCCCCCACAGCACCCACCCAGCCCCUACACUUACACUCUCCACACGCUGCCUGCCACCCACCAAUCUCUGUCAAAGCAAUAGAGCAAUUCUCGGUGUUGGGAUAAAAUGGCCAGGGGCCAGCGAUUGGAGGGAGAGCAGUGUUCUUCUUCUAGGGGAUUCUUUCCCCUCCCUUCCAGAAAGGAAAGAAAAGGUUUCCUUGACCUGGGCCAGCCACAGCGAUUCCUUUCCUGUCUGGCCCAUUUUUCUCAUCAGAGCCUUCUUUUGUCCUCUUUCCCGUUCCCACAAACCUCCUGACCCAGAGGACCCUCCUCAACUCUCUCUCUCUCUCUCUCUCUCUCUCUCUCUGUCUUUCACACACACACUCACUAUCUCUCUCUAUCUCUGUCUCUGUCUGUCUGUCUGUCUCUCUCUCUCUCUCUCUCUCUCACACACACACACACACACACACACACACACAUGCUAUCUUGCAUCCUCUUGUCUUUGACAGACCCCUUCAGGUUACCACACCCUCUAGGAUGAUUAGGAAAAGAUUCCUCAGACAGAGGGCUGGAUGCUAUGACAGCUCUGGAAGAAAGUAAGAAAUAUCAAUGCCAAUUAACAUCUCUCUCUCUCUCUCUCUCACACACACACACACACACACACACACACACACACAAAUCUUUCCGGGUGACCCCUCUUUUCUGCAGGGCCUAUCAAACCCCCUUGGAACUCAGGAACCCAAGGCACUGGGGAGUUUGGAGGCCACCCAAAUCUGACAUAGAUUUCACUUCUGUGACAUGUAAAGAAGGAAGGAGUGAGGAUGCUGCAGGAGGGACCAGGAUAUUUGGAAGGGCAGAGUACCCACCGCUUCUCUGGAGAAACCUGUUGUCUCCUUUGAUUGGGAAAGAUACUGGUGGGAGAUGCCUUGUUGCCUCCUUCCCUUCGUAGGGGCACGGCGCAGUUACCCAGCUGAAUUAACUUAUCUUGGUAGGAGCAGUACUACCAGGGCUAAGUGCUGGAUGAGAUGCUUUGGACGUCUGGCUCAGUCUUUGGUGUUCCAUCUUCUCAUCUAAAGAAGGGACCAUUCUUGUUUCCUGGUGUUGGUCUGUAUGGCACACUGAAAGGAUUUGGGCAGAUUACCUCUCGGGAGAGGAGGUACAGGGGGACACUUGGGCAAGGGGUUACCUUGUAGGACACAGGUUAUCCCAAGAAGAAGAGGAACUGAGUCUCAUCUUGGCUUUUGAUGUUCAUUUGGCCUCUCAGAUGACCACUAGGAGCAAAGCAUCCCAAUAGCUGGAUCAGUCCCAUUGAGCCUCUAAACCAGAAUUUAGCAAUAGUCUUUCUUUUUUUCCUGCUUGGGUUCCAGUUCCUUUGACUUACCCCUCUCAAGCCUCCUUCCUAGGACUGGAACUCAUGGCAAUCUCAGUCCCUGCCUCUAGCCCUCUGGCCAGCCCGGGGAACAAAGAAGGAGCAAGCUUUUCCCUUCAGAUUGGCUCCCUCCUGGGCCUGGGCUGGCCCAGCUUCUUACCCUCCUCUUGUCUCUUCUACCCCCUGGGCCAAAUGCUUCCAAACAUACUUUCUCAACCACUUUCCCUUGCCCAGGUUGGUUCCCCCACACAUCCCUAGGUUUUUGUUCUAUUCUCCGUCUAGGUCCAGAACUUUCCUCUGCAUCUCCUCUCAGCCCCCAUCAUCCCCAAGCUGAUUUUCUCCUCACCCCCUUCCCACCCAACUCCCUUCUUUUUACUCAACAGGUUUAGCCACUGGUGCUUUGAAGCCUUUUGAUUUUUUAAGACAGUCUUUGUAAAGUGAAUUGCUUUCUUUUCUAAUUUGGGCCAGAACGACACUAUACUCCCCCAACCGCCUGCCUUCUCCCCAAAGGUGCUCCCUUGGUUUCUGUGCAGAUGGGUUGAUUAAAAAUGGUGUUUUCUCUUUCUUUUCCUCACAUAUCCUAAUUGACCAGAUUAGAACUUCUCACAUUCCAGCCCAAGGAAUAAAAGACAGGAUGGGAGGAGUGGGCUAAGCAGAAGGGAGUAUAUACCCCAUGGAUCAAUGAAGAUCUGACAGGGAAGACUCCUAGCGAUUGGGAAUGUGGGGCCUGAAUGGCCAAGAGAAUGGGACUUGGAGUUGGGCUGCUCUUGUGGGGUCCCAUUCUCUCCCAGGAACCAGGCCCACAAGCUGGGUCAUGAGCAACAAGCAUUUACUGAACACCAACUAAGUGGGAACUGACAGUUGGCAGAGAGGAUAGAGCUCCAGGAAGCCUGGAGCCAGGAAAACCUGAGUUCACAUUUUACCUCAGACACUAGCUCUGUGGUCCUGGGCAAGUCGCUUAACCCUAUUUGCCUCAUGGUUUUUUUAUCUGUAAAAUGAGCUGGAGAAGAAAAUGGAAAACCACUCCGGUAUCUUUGCCAAGAAAACUCCAAAUGGGAUCACACAGAGUCAGACAUGAUUAAAACAACAUGAGAGUUGUUUAACAUCUCUGUCCCCCUCCCUGAGGCCAGCAACCAGCAAGAAUUCUACUUGGUAGCAUUGAACUGUUAUCCAGACAUGAUGACAAAAACCGGGGACCCAGAACCAAAAAGAUUGAAAUUAAUAAGACAGUGGACAAGCUGGCCAUUAGGGAACAGCCAGGACUAGUCAGGAACCAAUGCCUGACAAUUACGGGCCAAACAAGUUGUCCUGUGACCAGGAUAUGUGCAAUACAUGCAGGCAUUUUGAUAGCUGUGACCAAGAUUCCCUUUUUGUCAAUCUGAGAAUCCCAGAAUUCAUGGGAUCACAGAUCUCAGACACCACAUAGUCCAAAUUCAUUUUACAGAUGAGGAAACUGAGACAUGAAUCCCCACAGAUCCCUAAAGCAGUCAGUCACCCACUUUCUUACAGAUUUACAGAAUGUCUAAGACCAAAUCCUGUGUGUAUUUUAAUAUGAUAGUCUGACUCUUUUCUCAAGUACAAUAUGGCCCUUGAUCUGAAUCUUGAAGGAUGAAUAGGAUUGAAGGACAGAAGAUAUUUCAAGGAGGGAGAGGGAGUCAGCAGUGAAGGAGGCUGUAAUGUACACAGCCCAUUUAGGCAAGGAUAAAGAUACAUGGACAUCAUUCUUUUGUGGAGGAGUUGGAAAGAAGGCUAUGAAGCCAGGUGAGGAUCAAAUUGAAGAAACAUUAAAUAAUAGCUACCAUUUCUAGAAUGCUUAUAUAAAUAUCCUCAUAGAAACCCUGGGACGGUAAGUGCUAGCAUUUUAGAGAUAAGGAAACUGAGGCACACAAUAAGGUUUGCACAGUCACACAACUAGUGUCUGAGACCAAAUUGGAACUUGUUUAUUUUUAAAGUAUUUUUAAAAUCAACAAAUAUCUGCCUUUUCUCCCUCCCCCUGAAUCUCUGCCUCCUCCAAACAAGAAUAAAAGAACAAAAUUCCUAUUACAAACAUGUAUAGUAAGCAAAACGUGUUUCUACAUUGGCCAUGUCCAGAAAAAGGUGAACCUCCUGCCCUCAUUUUUCACCCUUCUAUCAGGAACUGAGUAGUAGGUUUCAUAGUCAGCCCUCUGGAAUGCUGGGCAGUCAUUAUGCUGAUCAGCCUAAUUUCAAAGUUUGAACUCCACUCUUCUUGACUCCAGGCCCAUUUGACUUCCAUUUAGGGUGCCACCCAACUGUGGUAUCAAGAGAAUUUGGAGUUUAUCCUGUAGGCAAUAGGGAGCCACUGAAAAUUCUAAUGCAGGGAGUGAGAAGAUCCCUGUGAUUCCAUAGCUACCUGUCUCUCUUCUCACAGACACAAAUAAGUGUCUGUAAAAUAGGCAAAAUAAGUACAAGGAAAAUAAUUGGGGGGGGGGGGGAGGAGACAGAGAAAAUGAUCAGACAAAGGUGGACUUUUUAAAGGAAAUAAAGAUUUCUAACAAAAACAAGAGGCGAGAACAUUCCAAAUAUGAGGAUCAGCUAGUGCAAAGUCCCUGAGAUGAGAAGUGGCACAAGAUCAGUUUGAAUGUGAGAAGAUUAAUGUAUGAUAAGAUUGGAAAGGUAAGUUGGAGCAAGCUGUGAAGGGCUUUAAAAGUUAAACAAGUUAGGCAAUUAUCUGGUGCAGUGGAUAAAUCACAGACCCUGGAGUCCCGAGGUCCUGAAUUUAAAUGCAACCUUAGUCGCUUACUUAGACCUGGGCAAGUCACUCUUGGUUGUCUUGAAAGAAAAGGUUAAGCAAGGGAGCUUGUGGUUUAACUAUCAUCUCUAUACCUCUGAUUUUCUGAUCUACUAAUCCAGCCCGAACCUCUCUCCUGAUCUUCAGUUACCACCUCAAACUAGAUAUCCCAUAGAAAACUCAGACUUAACACGUCCAACCCUGAACUCAAUUUCUUUCCCCCAAAACCAUUCUCUUUUUCUAACUUUUCUAUUAUUGAGGACAUUUCUAAUCUCCCAACCACCAAACCUAGAUGUCAUCCUCUGCUCCUCACUCCCUCACCUUCAUAUCACUUGCCAGAUUCUGCCAAUUUUACCUUUGCUAAUGAGGUCAGGUAGGUAAUGACGUAGUGAAUAUUCAGUGCUGAGAAUGGAAUCAGGAAGACUGAGUUCAAAUCCAGCCUUAGAGACUUAGCAGCUGUAUGAUCCUAGAUAAGUCAUUUAACUCUGCCUCAGUUCCCUCAUGUGUAAAACGAACUUGUGAAGGAAAUGGCAGACUACUCCAGUUUCUUUGCCAGGAAAACCCCAAAUAAGGCCUCAAAGAGUUGGACACAACUAAAAAAUGAUUAAACAAAAACAUUUCUGGAAUAUUUUGCAUUUCUCACACUGCUAUCAUCCUGGUGCAGGUUCUCAUUGUCUCACCCCAUGAUUAUUCUAUUUUGGGGUAUUUUAUAUUUAAAUUUUUUGAAUUUUCAUUUUUUAUAAUAAUAGCUUUUUCCAAGUACAUGCAAGAUAAUUUUUAAUAUUCACCUUUGCAAAACCUAGAAAUCCAAAUUUUUCUCCUUCCCUCCCCACUACCCCCUCUCUACUAGCAGGAUUAUUCUAAUAGUCGCUGAUGUGGUCUCUUUCUGCUCCAAUUCAGUUUCCAUUUAGCCUCCAAGAUGAUUUUCUUAAAGCUCAGGUCUUAUCAUGUCACUCAUCUACUCAGCGAACUCCAGUGGCUCCCUAUUACCUCCAGUAUCAAUUAUAAAAUUCUGUUUGGCAUUUAAAUUUCUUCACAUCCUACACCCUUCCUACUUUUUCAAUUUUCUUACCCUUUACACCCCUUCACAUACUCCAUAAUCCAGUGACUCUGGAUUGUUAUUUCCAAUGUAAGAGAAACACAUCAUUAUAACUUGAGAUUCAGAUUGAUGCCAUUUGUUUCAUGCCUGCCCACUUGUUGAAAGGGACUGGGUGGGGAGGGCAAGAGAACCAUAGAAAGAUAUUUUGGAACAAGAUCAAACAUUUCAUUAAUGGGUUUUAGCCCAAAAUGAAAACGUGUUAUAAAUAGAAAUAUGUAACUUUCGACAAAUCUGCUAGUGUUCAAAUUCAUAUAACA